UGAAUUAGGACAUUUAUUUUGUAGCAAAAUAGGCGGUCCGUGCAGGGAUAAAUAGCAUCAUAUGUUUUUUAUAUAUAUAUACAUAGAUAGAUCCAUUUGUGAAAUCAAUUCUUUGCAUCAGUGAUAGACAGUGUCAUAAAGCUCUGGUCCAAACACAAAGCCAGAAUCAAACAAAGAGUCCAGGUGUGUUAAAGCAAUCGACAAUUAUUAAAGGAGAUCAAUAUAAAGUAGCUCCAAGCCUUUUAGCUUUCAAAACUCAUGCAGCUUCUCUGUGAGUCUCUAGGCUUUAGGAGGUGCUGGGUGGCGGCGGAUAGCAAGCAAGCAAGCAAGCAGACAAAGUCCAUAUGGUGCUACAUUUCCAAAAGCAUCUUGUUGUUUGAGAACGGCCCCGCCCCAACCCAUUCACAAAGUACAAAACACUUGAUCUUUCAGACACACAGCGCUCCCAGCACAAAACAACUCAUU